rnacentral:rRNA from 1 species
UACGUAGGGUGCAAGCGUUAAUCGGAAUUACUGAGCGUAAAGCGUGCGCAGGCGGUUCUAUAAGACAGAUGUGAAAUCCCCGGGCUCAACCUGGGAACUGCAUUUGUGACUGUAGAGCUGGAGUGCGGCAGAGGGGGAUGGAAUUCCGCGUGUAGCAGUGAAAUGCGUAGAUAUGCGGAGGAACACCGAUGGCGAAGGCAAUCCCCUGGGCCUGCACUGACGCUCAUGCACGAAAGCGUGGGGAGCAAACAGG